rnacentral:lncRNA from 1 species
GGAUAUGGAAAAUGUCCCCUCUUUGAGGGAAAGUGUACCUGGAACCCUAGUUUUUGGUUCAUGAUUCUCUAUUACUGUCAUGGUAUCUACACACAGCGCGUGUGCGCACACCAACCAGGACUCUUACCAUAUCUGUAAUGACACAUGCCUCCCAGGACUGUCAUGGUGUCGGUGCAUGGUCCACAGGCCAACCUGUAUGAUCAUGAUGUCUGGCUGCACAGGACAUGUGCCACGCGGAACUCUGACCAUGUCUGUGUACACACCACCCAAUAUUGUCCUAACACCUGUGCCCUCGAGACCUGUGCCCCCAGGACUGUUAUGAGUCUGUCUGUGCACAUAUGCGAGCCACUUGGUGCUCUUUAUCUCUCCACUACACGGGUGAUGCCCUGAAGAGGCAGCUCCAUAUGGCUGUGCUGGUGUACUCUG